rnacentral:rRNA from 2 species
AAAUUGAAGAGUUUGAUCAUGGCUCAGAUUGAACGCUGGCGGCAGGCCUAACACAUGCAAGUCGAACGGUAACAGGAAGCAGCUUGCUGCUUUGCUGACGAGUGGCGGACGGGUGAGUAAUGUCUGGGAAACUGCCUGAUGGAGGGGGAUAACUACUGGAAACGGUGGCUAAUACCGCAUAACGUCGCAAGACCAAAGAGGGGGACCUUCGGGCCUCUUGCCAUCAGAUGUGCCCAGAUGGGAUUAGCUAGUUGGUGAGGUAACGGCUCACCAAGGCGACGAUCCCUAGCUGGUCUGAGAGGAUGACCAGCCACACUGGAACUGAGACACGGUCCAGACUCCUACGGGAGGCAGCAGUGGGGAAUAUUGCACAAUGGGCGCAAGCCUGAUGCAGCCAUGCCGCGUGUAUGAAGAAGGCCUUCGGGUUGUAAAGUACUUUCAGCGGGGAGGAAGGUGUUGUGGUUAAUAACCGCAGCAAUUGACGUUACCCGCAGAAGAAGCACCGGCUAACUCCGUGCCAGCAGCCGCGGUAAUACGGAGGGUGCAAGCGUUAAUCGGAAUUACUGGGCGUAAAGCGCACGCAGGCGGUCUGUCAAGUCGGAUGUGAAAUCCCCGGGCUCAACCUGGGAACUGCAUUUGAAACUGGCAGGCUUGAGUCUUGUAGAGGGGGGUAGAAUUCCAGGUGUAGCGGUGAAAUGCGUAGAGAUCUGGAGGAAUACCGGUGGCGAAGGCGGCCCCCUGGACAAAGACUGACGCUCAGGUGCGAAAGCGUGGGGAGCAAACAGGAUUAGAUACCCUGGUAGUCCACGCCGUAAACGAUGUCUACUUGGAGGUUGUGCCCUUGAGGCGUGGCUUCCGGAGCUAACGCGUUAAGUAGACCGCCUGGGGAGUACGGCCGCAAGGUUAAAACUCAAAUGAAUUGACGGGGGCCCGCACAAGCGGUGGAGCAUGUGGUUUAAUUCGAUGCAACGCGAAGAACCUUACCUGGUCUUGACAUCCACGGAAGUUUUCAGAGAUGAGAAUGUGCCUUCGGGAACCGUGAGACAGGUGCUGCAUGGCUGUCGUCAGCUCGUGUUGUGAAAUGUUGGGUUAAGUCCCGCAACGAGCGCAACCCUUAUCCUUUGUUGCCAGCGGUCCGGCCGGGAACUCAAAGGAGACUGCCAGUGAUAAACUGGAGGAAGGUGGGGAUGACGUCAAGUCAUCAUGGCCCUUACGACCAGGGCUACACACGUGCUACAAUGGCGCAUACAAAGAGAAGCGACCUCGCGAGAGCAAGCGGACCUCAUAAAGUGCGUCGUAGUCCGGAUUGGAGUCUGCAACUCGACUCCAUGAAGUCGGAAUCGCUAGUAAUCGUGGAUCAGAAUGCCACGGUGAAUACGUUCCCGGGCCUUGUACACACCGCCCGUCACACCAUGGGAGUGGGUUGCAAAAGAAGUAGGUAGCUUAACCUUCGGGAGGGCGCUUACCACUUUGUGAUUCAUGACUGGGGUGAAGUCGUAACAAGGUAACCGUAGGGGAACCUGCGGUUGGAUCACCUCCUUACCUUAAAGAAGC